AGCCACGUUAUACUGUCGAAAUUUUAUUAAAAUUGGUGGGUUAGUCACUGCAGUGACGGGUUUCCGUGGACUGCCUAUUAGAAGGGCACGGUAAACCCAGUUAUAUAGUUACUCCGGUUGUAGAGGCGAGGAGGGUAACUCUCGGGGUAGUAUUAGAGCUCACUUCACGUCGAACCCCCACGUGAAUGUGUAACUCGGCCAACGCUAAGGAACGGCUGGUUUUAAAAAAAAAAUGUGUUUCACGUGUGAAUAUUUUAACACCCUUGGCGGACUCGGUUAGAUACCUCGGCCAAGGUAUCCCCGAGGAUUAGUUUUGGCUUGAGUCUUGUUUUAAUAAAAGACAUAAGCCUUAACAACUGUUUUGGUAAAUUACAAAUAUUUUAUGGUUUAAGAAAUAAAUUGGAAACAUUAUGAAAUGGGUUGAAAUUUGUUGUUUAAACUUGCCUCCAUUUUACUCGCCUUUAGAUAUUUAUGAUAAUGUCUGUUUACUCAUUGGGAUUGCAAAAUCUCACCCAACUCCUUUCCACCCAUUUCAGGUUCAAUAUAGACUGUAGAUAGCUGAUCUCAUCGAAGACUACCAUUGGAUCUGCAUUUUCCAAACCGUAAGUUCACAGUCCUCUUUACUUUUGUUUAUUCGGGGGCCCUCUUGUUAUUGUAAAUUAAAUUAAAUAUUUUGGCUUACUGUAUUUCAGUAUGUAUAAAUUUAUUUAGCUUUUACGCUAUAAAAAUUAUUCACGUAUAACUCUAUAAAUAUUGUUUUAUAAGAAAAUAGAAUAUUUUCCUUAAUAUUUUUUUUUUCUUAUUAUAUUCAAAUAACCGUAAUUUCGUUUUAAAUGAAGAUUUUAGCCUUUUAAACUCAUUUUGAAUAUGAAUUAUGUGUUUUGUACUUGUAUAUUACAUUUUAGCCAGUUUCAAAAUUUUUGAGAAAAAAAUGACCAAAAUACCCCUGUGUGGCAAAAAUUUUAUUUUGAUUAUUUUUGAUCUAAAAUAGUAUAUAUUCUCUAAAAACUCGAUAUUUAACAAUGAUUGCUCACAGGAAAGGAAAGAAACUGAUAUGUAAGCCUUGUGGGGUUCCGGUUGGCAAUCCGGAUAAUGAGUGUCAAUCGGGACGUCGCGGCGAUUGUCAUGGGCCUGAGGGAGGUUCCGGGUCGUGACAAUUUCUACCUUUCCUAUGCCUUUGUUCCAUUUAGCAUGCUUGAGGAGAGAAAUCAAAAAGUGAUACCAAGGGCUGGCCGAAUUUCAAGGGGGAGGAUUUUGAAUUUUUUUUGUUUUGAUUCUUAGUUAAAUUGGUAGUUUUAGUUAGUUAAAUGUGUAUAGAAAUCAAAUUGGGCAAGAAAGCAUAAAAUUCUCACAAUACCCACCCUUGGCCGAAUAUUCAAUGAUGUACAAUGAUGAUGAACUGACUUUUAUUCUAAGAGAAAUGAAGAAAAAAUGAUGAAAAAUGGUUAAAUGUGAUAGAAAAACAAAGUGGAAAAUUAACCGAGUUAAUGUCCCAUUUUUGACCGAAUUUUCCAAGGAGGAAAGUGAGCUGAUUUUGGUGAUUUUAAAGGGUUAUUGGCUGAUAUUUAAUGGUUAGAAAUGUUGGAGAGAAAAUGGGACAAUUUAGAGCCAAAAUAGAGCGCGUUAGCAAUUUAUCGGGUAAAGUGCCAAAAAUAGGUUAAUACCGCAUUUAAGCCGUUUUAGGCUAUUGCAUUUCAUACCAUGCAUUUGUAUAGGAUUUAAGUCAAUUACAUAGUAAUUUAGCAUCAAUGUGGUGAAUUGUUUAAUUUUUGCAAUGUGUCUAGGAGGAGAGCCUUCCGGUAAAGGCAAAGAAGUCGUACCCGACGAACAGUGAUCGGGGCACCUAGAAAGCAUUUAAUUUGUACAAACGGUGAGUAAACCUAUUAUUAUUGUAAAUUAUCUAGAGUUUAUUUUUAAAUGCUGUUCAUGGAUUUUAUGAAACGAAAAUGAGAUUGAAAUGGGAUUUUUGAUAUUUUAGAAAUAAAUGUGCCAAAUAAAUUCAUUGUGUUGCUUAUCUUAAAUAAGAAACUUUUAAUCAUGAAAUUGAGUAAUUGGAGGCUGUCAAUUGUCUUGAAAAAUAUAUUUUCCUAUGAAUGGCUUAUGAUAUAUGAGUAUAUGUGGCUAUAUUUUAUAAUUGCAUUGGGAAUUUAUGUAAGCUGUCUUUUACUAUGCAGGCUGGGUAAAUAAAUAAAAGCCACGUUAUACUGUCAAAAUUUUAUUAAAAUUAGUGGGUUUAGUCACUACAGUGACGGGUUUUCGUGGACUACCUAUUAGAGGGGUACGGUAAACCCGGUUAUAUAGUUACUCCGGUUGUAGAGGCGAGGAGGGUAACUCCCAGGGUAGUGUUAGAGCUCACUUCACGUCGAACCCCCACGUGAAUGUGUAACUCGGCCAACGCCAAGGAACGGCUUGUUUUCAAAACUAACAUGUGUUUAAUAUGUAAAUAUCUUAAUAACCUUGGCGGACUCGGUUAGAUGCCUCGGCCAAGGUAUCCCCGAUGACUAGUUUUGGCUUGAGCCCUGUUUUUAAUAAAAGUUAUAAGCCUUAACAACUAUUUUGGUAAAUUACAAAUAUUUUAUGAUUUAAGAAAUAAAUUGAAAACCUUAUGAAAUGGUUUGUAAUUUGUUGUUUAAACUUGCCUCCAUGUUACUCAUCUUUAGAUAUUUAUAAUAAUGUCUGUUUACUCAUUGGGAUUGCAAAAUCUCACCCACCUCAUUUCCAAAUAUUUCAGGCCAGUGGUAGCUUGUAGAUACCCGAUUUUGUCGAGGAUUCCAAUUGACCCCUCUAUCACACAGACAAUAGGUUACUAUCACCAACACUUGGUGUAUUUAUGGGCCACUUGUCAUUGUAAUUAUUAUUGUACAUUAUAACUUUGUAAAUUAUUGUAUGUAUGAAUUUGUUUUACUUCUAAGUUACAAAAGAUUACUUACACGUGUUUCUAUAAAUAUUGUUUUAUAUAAAAAUGCUAUAUUUUUGUCUUUUGAUUUACUUGAGCCAGAAACGACUGAAAAUUGUUUAAAACUGAUAUGUAAGCCUUGCGGGGUUUCGAUUGGUAUUCUAGGUAAUUAGUAUCAAUCGAGACAUCGCGGCGGUUGUCAUGGGCCCGAGAGAGGUUUCGAGUCGUGACAUCAAGAUGCUUUACCAAGUGAUACUGAACCCAACCCAAGAAGAGAAGGUAAGGAACAUUGCAUGGCAAUCACUCUCCGUAAUGAAAAAGAGGUACAUAAAGAGGUAAGUAAUCAAGCAAUAAAUCCUGAGAAUUUAAUUCAAUUUGAUGAGAAAGAAAUUGAAAAAGAUGCUGAAAAAGAUAUUGUGGUUGAAAAUUUUGUUGAAAAUUUAAAAGAAAAAUCACAAUCUACUCCCACACCUCCACCGCCUUUUCCUCAACGUUUUCAAAAGCAAAAACUUGACAAACACUUCCAGAGAUUUCUUGAGGUAUUUAAAAAACUGCACAUUAAUAUUCCUUUUGCUGAAGCUUUAGAACAAAUGCCAAGUUAUCUUAAAUUCUUGAAAGACAUCCUGACCAAAAAGAGGAAAUUGGAAGAGUUUGAAACAGUUGCACUUACUGAAGAGUGUAGUGCUAUAAUUCAGAAUAAGCUUCCACCAAAGCUUAAAGAUCCAGGGAGUUUUUCUAUUCCUUGCACUAUUGGUAGUUUUAAAAUUUCUAAAGCUUUAUGUGAUUUAGGUGCUAGUGUUUCAAUAAUGCCUUUAUCUAUUGCCAGGAAACUUGGAUUUCAAGAGAUACAACCUACUACAAUUACCUUGCAAUUAGCAGACAGAAGAAUCAGGCACCUAGUUGGGAUUAUAGAGGAUGUGUUGCUUAAAGUUGGGCAUUUAUACAUUCCAGUAGACUUCAUUGUGCUCAAGAUUGAAGAUGAUGUUGAAAUUCCUUUUAAUUUGGGAUGACCAUUCUUAGCUACAACUGGAGCACUUAUUGAUGUGAAGAAUGGAAAAAUAACUUUUAGAGUUGGAGAGGAGGAAGUGGUAUUUAAUUUGUUUAAUGCAACUCAGUAUCCCUAUACAAAUAGUUGCUAUAAAUUGGAUUUAGUUAAUGAAGGUAAGGGCAAGCCUAUUCCACCACCUUCAACAGAGCAAGCGCCAAUUCUUGAGACAAAGCCACCACCACUUUCCAACUAUCUAGAUUUUGUGGUUAGACAGCGAGUAGUACUUUUUGAUUCACAACUCCAUCUUUUGCCAUGGAAUCUUAGACCAUAUUUGGGGAACAAGUUUAAGGUAAAAAAAAUUCAUCCUGAUGAUGUUAUCGAGAUCUAUAGUGGACUUACCAGAGCAGUCAAGGUCAAUAAAAAAAAUCUCGAGCCGUAUAAAGUAAUGCAGAAGAAGGUACCAUAGUCAAGCUAGUGACUAUAAAGAAGCGCUUCUUGGGAGGCAACCCAAGCAUUCUAACUUACUUUCUUUUAUAUUUUUAUAUUUUUAUUUUUUAUUUAUUUAAUUAUUAAAUUAUUAACUUUUUUUUUAUUUUGUGCAGGUUCUUAAAUUUUUUUUAAAAAAUUCAAAAAAAAAGGUGGGAAGCCGCGACUCACUAGGCUUGGAGCCGCAACUCCACAAAAAUAAAAAAGGGUGGUAAGUGGGAAGUCGUGGCUCGCACUUUUUUUUUAUUAAAUUAAAUCUAAAUUUAAUUUUAUGUGAAUGUUUAUCUAGAUUUAAAAAAAAAUUAGGAUUAGUUGGUAAAAGAAUUUAAUUUUUGUUGAAUUUUAGGAAUCUAGGGUAAAGUUGUGCCAAUUUUUUCAAUGAUUUUUUUUAUCCAAUGAUGAUAACUAGUUGUCUUAAAUUCUUAACUUUUGGUGAAAAAGGUUUUUGUUUGGAUUCAUGCUAAAUUUUUUGUUAAGUAUCAUUGUUAGGAUGUGAUUUCCACAAUUUUGAGCACUAUAUCUUUUACUUUGGAUUAUUUUGAAUACUUAGAGAAGGUUUAUAUUGAUAUGAAUUUUAGAUUAUGUCAUGAAUUUUAAAAUUUAUUUGAUUUUCUCUCGAGGCGAAAUCUUAGGUAAUACUUAGUUAGGGAGAUGAUCUAGGCCAUCUUUGGACCGUUUGAGCCUAGAAAGCCAACCUUGUUAAAUUUUUAUCCCUAAUAUACUCUUUUGAGCCUAAUUUCCCUUUUCUUUGUUCAACUACAUAAUAAUUGAGCUUAACUUUAAAAUUAAAUUUCCAAUUUUGCAACCUUCACUCCUAAGCAUGUAUGUUGUUUUGGGAAAUAUAAAUUGAGCUAAAUGUUGAAAAAGGGAUAAAGGUGAUGUUGAUGUGAAAAAAAUUCAAAAUAUGAAAAAUAACCCCACUACCUACAAUACAAAGAAAAGAAGUUUGGGGGUGUGAAAUUGUGAAAAAAAAAAAAGAAAAGAAAAUACUGUUGGAUGAAAGAAAAAGUUCAAAUAUGAAAGAAAAGGUGUACUAGGAGAAAGAAAUAGAGCUCUAUAUAUAAGUCCUAGAAUAAUUAUGUGCUUAGGGUGUUUUGAGCCACAUUAAUAUCCUUUAUCAUACCUUGACCCUAACCAUACAUUACAAGCUUUAUAAAGUCCUAUUGAUCCCUAGCUUUGUAUUGGUCUACAUUAAUGGAGAGAGAAAUGAAAAGUAAACCUAUGGAAAUCUAGUACUAAUUUGAAAUUUGUGUUGACAUAAAUUCAUUUGGAUAUCAUGAUAUUCUUGGUAAAAGAUUUCACACACACGCGAAAAUCCAUUCGAGAAUGUGCUUGCAUUAAAAUUGAAACAUGAAUCUGAAUGAGACUUUUAUUUUUUCUGAGGUUAAUGAUUGAUAGACAUACUUUUGAGGAAAUUAUAAAGAAUCAUUGAGUUGGUGCACUUUAUCUCUUGUAGUAGUAAUAGUAGUAGUAAUAACUAUAUUUAUUUUUCAUUAACUGAAUUUGAUUUUCAUAAGUUAGGUUCUUUUCUAUGUUUUGCUCGAGGACUAGCAAAAUCUUAAGUUUGGGGGUGUGAUAACUCUAUGAUAUAGAGUUAGUUAAGCUUAAUUUUGAUAAUAAUUUGGCUAAGUUUUUGUAGUAAUGCAUCGAAAUUAGUAGGUUUUAUUUCAUUAUUUUAAAUUAGUUAUUUUAGGUGAGUCAAUCUAAUUUUGAUUAAUUUUAUGCUUAAUUUGGUGUUAAUAUGAUUAAGAUAGGUUGCUAUUGAUUUAUUUGUGUUUUUGUAGGUGUUUGAAAGAAGAAUUUUAAUGAAAGAACGAAAACAAUUUCAAGGUGCAUACUUCUAAAGUAUAUAUUUUCGUAUUUUGGCCAUAUUUUUCUCUACAAAGCUCCAAAUGAAGCUAUUCUUAGACCAAUGGAAAGCUAAGAGAAAGAUAUACAACUUUCAUGUUUACCACUUCACCCAAUUUAGCUUGAAAAAGGAUAAAAAAUCUUAUCGAAGUUGACACACUGCAAUAGUGCUAAGGCAAUUGCGAUUUUUGUUAAUUAAUUUGGCAAAGCUGCGACUUACGUAGUCUGAUGAGGAAAUCCUAGCUGAAAUUGACUUCUUUCUUCACCCAAAUUGGCCUAACUUCAAAGCCUACAAAAAUAACCUUUUGGAGACUUAAAAGCAUUAAGAAGAAAAACACCAGAUUAAUAGCUGAGAGUCGAGUUACAGAGUCAUUGAAGCUAAGAAGAAUUUGCAGAAUUCAAGGAGAUUUGAAGAUCAAGAAUACAAUUCUUGUGUUUUUCUAUAUUUUCUUUUAUUCUCUUUUUUUCUUAGUUUUGUUUUAAUGUUUAUAUUUUAUUCGAUGAUGAUGUAUGACUUGAUGGGGAACUAAUUUUUUAAUCUAAGAUUAUGAUUGAACUCAAUAUCUAGUCUGAAUUAUUUAUCUCUCUUUUACUUAUGUUUGAUGGAUUUAAAUUGUUUAUUUUAUUCUAUUCUUAAUGCUUCUAGUUGACUGGACACCAAUUAGAUUGAAUUAGAAACCUAGGUUAAACCUUGACGAAGGAGAUUUAGGUAGACCUUGAAUAAAAUAGUGUAUGAUCGAAUACACUUAGUUGAUUAGGUGGUUUGAUUUGUAUAUAGGGUAGACAUACACCUAUAAACCAUGCAUAGCCAAAAUUAGAGUACAAACUUAAUGAAUCUUUCUUCAAUAUAAUUUGCAUAGAUAUAUAGUAAAUUAAUUGGGAGAGGUAUUUUUAUAAGAAAUUCGAUAGAGACUUGUAAAUAAUUUAUGACUCUAGGUUAGCAAUUUAAUCCAUUAAACUAAGUUAAAAGAGAGAGACAAUAAUCAGAUGAAGUAUUGAGGGAUAUCAUAAUCUUAGGUCGUUAAUCAUUAGAAGUAAAUUUGCUAAUAAAAUUCAGAUUAGUUUUGGUCUUAGUUAAUAGUUAUCACUUUAAAUUUUUCCUUUUUAAUUUUAAUUGUUUAGAUAAAAUUAAGGUGUGUUAAUUUUAGUAGUUAACAGUAAGGAUUAAUUCAAUUCUCUGUGGGAUUGACACUCUACUCAUCUUUAUAUUAUCUUUGCAAUACAUACACUUGCGUGGGUAGAAAAUUUAACAACAGUACUUAAUAGCAAUACCACAAAUUUUCUUAAUGAAAACAGAUUUCAAAGGAAACAAAUCAAUUAAUUUUUUACUAGGGCUAAUUAAAAGCCUAACCUUACCUCAAGGUUGGCUUUCUAAGCUUCCAAACACCUUAAAUAAUGCCCAAAAUCAAAGGAGAAGCUUGGGGUCAUAAUGGUAGAGGAAUGCGGCUGAGUUUCCUUUUUUCUUCAAAUGGGCGAAAUGCCAAAAGCAAUUCCUUUUUUUUGCAUUCCUAUAAGGAUGUAUCGAUAGAUUCAUGAAUCUAUCGAUACAUUCGUAUGAUUUUUCUUCAAAUCUAUCAAUACAUGUGUUAAUGUAUCUGUAGAAAUUCAAUAGAAUACUCACUACCUCAAAUCUAUUGAUAGAUUCAUGAAUCUAUCGAUACAUUCGUAUGAUUUUUCUUCAAAUCUAUCAUUACAUAUGUUAAUGUAUUUAUAAAUAUUCAGCAGAAUGCUCACUACCUCAAAUCUAUUGAUAGAUUGGGAAAUCCAUCAAUACAUUUUUCACAGAAUGCCCCUUUUCAAAAUUUAUUGAUACAUUUGGUGAUUCUAUCCAUAAAAAUUCAACAGAGUGUCUCUUGGCUCAAAUCUAUCAAUACAUUCUUGACUGUAUGGAUAAAAAAUUUAUAGAAUGCUUCCCCCAAGGCUUUUUACCAAGAAUCUAUUGAUACAUUCUCAAAUGUAUUGAUAGAUCUUGUCUAGAAGCUAAAUUUUCUAAUACUUUUAGCUUCCUGACUCCAAAUUUCAAACUUCUUAAUCAUGUCUAACUGCAGCCACACCUUAAUUCAACCAUAUAACUCCUAAGUUUUAGUCAAACUUCAAUAUAUUCAAAUCAUCAAACAUAUCUCAAUAUCUUUGCUUAGGUGUCAUAGCUUUUCAUAAUACAAGCUUAUGCACAUAUAACACCAUCCAAAGUCCUCAAAACAUGUUAAGACUUCAUAAUCACAUUCAUCAGCACAACAAAUUUCAAAUUAUAUACUUAACCAAAAUCAUAUGUAAUUCAUAUUAAAGUCAGGGGUGUUACAUCCUCCCCUUCUUAUAAAAAUUCGAUCUUUAAAUUUAACUCAAGUGCUAUAAAGAAAAUCAUAUCUUAAGUCUUAAAGAGAUACAGAUAUUUUGCUUGCAUUUCCUCCUCGAAUGAUCAUGUCGCUUCCUCAACCGAGUGGCUCUGUCGUAACACCUUUACUAAAAUAAUAUAUUUAGAGCAAAGCCAUUUUAUUUGUUUGUCUAACAUAGCCACAAGCUACUCCUUAUAUGUGAAACCGUCUUGCAACUAACCUUCAUCAUAUUGAAUUAUGUGCAGAGGAUCGAAAACAUUUUUCUUAAGCAUGAACAUGUGAAAAAUUUAAUGAACAUUGGACAACUUGGCAACAACGCCAAAGAUAAGCAAUUACGCCCACACACUCUAAAAUCUUAAAUGGUCUGAUGUAUCUUGAGCUCAAUUUCCCUUUCUUGUCGAACCUUUUAACUCCUUUAGUUGGCGAAACUUUAAAAAACUCAUGGUCCCUGAUUUCAAACUCUUGAGACUUUCACCUAUUAUCAAUGUAUGAUUUCUAUCGACUUUAAGUUGAUAACAUUCUUUCUUGGAUUAUCUAAACACCAUUUACAACUUCUUAGACCAUCUCCAACCCCAAGAGCUUUCUUUCUCCAACCUCAAGCCGUCCAAUGGGCAAUCUACAUUCUUGUCUGUACAAAGCUUUGAAUGGUGCCAUUCCAAUGUUGGCAUGAUAACUAUUGUUGUAUGCAAACUUGGCCAAAGGUAAAUAAAGGUUUCAAUAAACUCUAAAAUCAAGUACAAUCGCUCUCAAUAUAUCUUCAAGUGUUUGAAUUGUGCAGUCAGAUUGGCCAUUCAUCUACAGAUGAUAAGCUGUACUAAAAUCUAACCUUGUGUCUAUGGCUUCUUAUAGCUUCUUCCAAAAUUGAUUGGUGAACUAUGUACCUUGGUCGGACAUUAUACUUAUAGGAACACCAUGUACCCUUAUAAUCUCCUUAAUGUAAAUUCGAGCAUACCAAGCUAUUCCAAAAAUUGUCUUGAUCGAUAGAAAAUGAGCUGAUUUAGUUAGCCAAUCUAUUAUCACCCAAAUGGCAUCAUAGCCUCCUCUAGCUUAAGAUAAACAUGUCUCAAAAUCCAUUACUACAUGUUCUCAUUUCCACUCAAGUACUAGUAAUGAUUGCAACAACCUUGAAGGUUUUUGAUGUUUAGCUGUGACUUGUAGACAAACCAAACACUUUGAGACACAUUUUGCUACAUCUCUCUUCAACCCUUGCCACCAAUAAACAGACUUUAAGUCGUGAUACAUUUUAAUGGCUCCCAAGUGUAUGGCAUAGGUUGCAACGUGAGCCUCUUCCAAUCUCCCAACUCUUAAACCAUCUUAAUUUGGCAUAUAAAAUCGAGAUAUAUAUCUAAGAAAACCACUAAUGCGAUAAAAAAAGUCUUGAGCUUUUUCUUCGCUCAUAUCUCCAAAGACUUUUAUCACAAAUUUGUCCUAGUUUUUGGCGUCUGUAAUCUGAUCCAUAAUCAUUGGUUAGACUCUGAAAUGAGCCAAUAAGGCAUCUAAAUCAUUAACCUUAAAAUGUUCUCCCAUAUUACCAAGAUCAUACCAAAUUUUCACUGAGGAUGGUUUCUUCAUCGUCAUAUGUGCUAAACUCCCUAUAAAUUUCUGGUUUAAGGCAUUUGCUAUAACAUUCGCCUUGCCUAAGUGGUACAAUAUGGCGCAAUCAUAGUCCUUUAGUAAUUUUAACCAUCUACGCUACCUCAAAUUCAAAUUUCUUUACUGAAAUAUAUACUUUAAGCGCUUGUGGUCAAUAUAUAUUUCAUAAUUCUCACCAUCUAGAUAGUGUCACAAUAUCUUCUAGGUGAAUACACUCGCUGCCAUCUCCAGAUCGUGUAUAGGAUAUGUAACGACCCCCUCCUUGGUCACUCCCAGCGUCCGAGACUUUCAAAGAAUUUUCGCUAAGUCUCGAAUAAGCCUCAUUUAAAACUUUCGCUAGAUUCAUUAAAUACAUAUAAUCAUGUGCGUAAGUGAAUAUAUAAAAAUUAAACUAUUAUCUACUCCAUUCAAAAUAAUAAUAAUUCACGUUUAUGAGUUGACAACAUUUUUCAACACCUAGUAAAUUUCGUUUUAACAUAACACUAAACAACGGAGCAACUUAGAGCGAGGCUAAGAGAUGCCUUUACCUACUCUGCGGUGGUCCGUAUGCACCGAUGGUUACACAUUAGACUGAUCUCUAUUUGCAAAAAUGAAAAAUAAGAGGGGUGUGACUCUCAUAGACUCAGUGAUAAUCAUCGACCCCGUGAGUAGGCGAAGAGGGGAAACAACAUAGAGGUGGAAUGUUUAUAAACUCAAGAAUAAGAGUAGAAAAUACAUUCCAUAAAAAUGAGAGAUUUUGUUUUAUACCUUGCAAUUCUUAAAAAUAAUAAUUCCCAAGUAAACAUGUAUGAAAAUAGUUGUAUUUAGGAUACUAGAAAAUCUUUCAAACUUGACAUCCAGUCAACAUUUAAUUCAAUGGCAAGUGAAAAAUGAAAAUUCUCGAAAAUAAAAAGGCGAAUUAAUUUAUCACCAAUGAAUAAAUAAAUUUCACUUGCCCAUUUAAUAAAUAAAAAUUUUCAAGUAUUAAUGCCAUGCAUAGAAAAAUAAAAUCCAGAAGGGAACAUCAUCCUCGAGUAAGUUUAAUAUAGCCUUUAGGCUUACUCUCUCAGACAUCAUCACUUACUCGUGGGAACUACCCACGCCACUAUAUGAAUCGGGGCUUCAAGUCCCCCUUUGCCUACUCAUGGGAAUUACCCACGUCACUAAAUAUAAAUCGAGGCUUCAGGUCCCCCUUUACCUACUCGUGGGAACUACGCACGUCACAAAAUAUAAAUCGAGGCUUCAGAUCCCCCUUUGCUUACUCGUGGGAACUACCCACGUCACCAAAUAUAAAUCGGGGCUUCAAGUCCCCCUUUGCCUACUAGUGGGAUCUGCCCAAGCCCCCAUAUAUAAAUCGGGGCUUCAUGUCUCACUUUGCCUUCUCGUGGGAACUGCCCACGCCACCAUAUGAAUCGAGGCUUCAAGUCCCCCUUUACCUACUCGUGGGAAUUGCCCACACCACCAUAUGAAUCGGGGCUUCAAGUCCCCAUUUAAAAUCAAAUAUCGAAAAUCAUUGCAAUUUGAAGCAAUUGCAAAUCAUAAUAGUUUGUAAACAAUAUAAUCAUAAAUCAAUGUUGUGCUUAUUUUAUCUCAAAGCAUGGUAUAUUUACCAAAUCAGCUUGUCAAGUGAAAUAAAUAAUUUAUCAAGUUUUAUGAAUCAAUACAAAGGCCAUUGGCCCAAACAUCACACAAACUUGCAAGGUACGAUUUUGAAGUGAAAACCAGUCAAAGGUUUGUUUCCCCAUAUUUAAAAAAAACAUGUAGAUAUAUAUAAUUAUAUACUUUAAAGAAAAGCGGAUAUAAAAUCCUUGUCACAAGCACAAACAACCUAAGGCUUUCUACCAACUCAUGCUGUCCACAAUUUCGUCAACUAUCAAUUGUAACAUAUAUAAUAUUUCAUAGGAAAAUAAUUUUAAAAUCUAGCACCCACUCACCUCACAGUAACGGGACGUUACUUCGCUAUUAUUUUGCGCAUGUACUUAGCUAUUCUCUCUUCCUUUUCAUCUUUUUUCCUUUUAUGUCGCUGCUCUUUCUUUCCUUCUUCUUAUUUUUCUUUCUCUUCUUUCUUCUCUCUCCUUCUUCUCCCUCAUUGCUGCUCCUCUUCUUAUUUUUCUUCUUUUUCUUUCUCUUCUUUCUUCUCCCUCCUCGCCAUUCUCCCUCUCUCUUUCUUUUUCUUUUUCUUUCUCUUCUUUCUUCUCCCUCGUCACAGAGCUCCCUCUCUCUUUUUUCUUCUCUUUCUUUUUCUUUUUUCCUCUUUCUCUUUCCUUUUUCUGCUCUACCGUGCUCUUUCUCUCCUUUAUUCUUCUCUUUCUCUUUUUUUUUCUCUUUCUCCUCUCUUCUUUCUCUCCCUUGGGCCCCUCACUCUCUUCCAUCUCUUUCCUCUUCUCUUUCUUUUUCUCUUUCUCCUUUGUCUUUUCUCCCUUUUUUUGCAGCAUUAACUUUUCUUCUUUUCUCUCCUUUCUUCCUUCUCCAUUUUGGCCUACCCCCUACUCCUUUCUUCAUCUCUUUGUCUUUUCUUUGUGAGUGGGGCGUCACAGGAUAGUUUUGCUCAUGCCUCUUAAUUUAUCAUAAGGCAUAAGCCAUAACUCAUCGGUGUUGCAUCAACACACCACCCAAACUAAUUUGUGAUGCAUCAUAAUGCACAACAUAGCCUUCGAAUCCACACAAAAGGCUCAACAUGAGUGUAGAAGUGAAACAAGCUUUAAGUCUUAAAAUACUUACCUUGUAGGCAUUAAACAAAUCAAAUUUAAUUCCCUUUUGAGUUAAUUUUGUCAAGGAGAUGCUAUCUUGGAGAAAUCUUAAACAAAGCGUUUGUAAUAAUUGGUUAAUCCCAAAAAACUUCGAAUUUCCAUUAUAGACAAAGGCUUUAGCCAAUUCUCCAUAGCCUCUAUCUUACUCAUAUCAACUUGUACCCCUUGCUCAGAUACAACGUCUCCCAAGAAACUAACUUAACCAAAAUUCGCACUUCGCAAAUGUAGCAUAUAACCGAUACUCUUUAAGAAUUUAAAGCACAAUUCUCAAGUUUUCUGCAUGUUCCUCCAGGCUCCUUGAAUACAUCAAAAUCUCAUCUAUGAAUAUGACUACAAAUUUGUCCAAAUAUGCCCCAAAACUUUAUUCAUCAAAUCCAUAACGUUGUAAGGACAUUAAUUAGUCCAAAUGACAUCACUAGGAAUUCGUAGUGCCCAUAUCUUUUACGAAACAUUGUCUUAGGUAUAUCACUCUCAUGAAUUAUCAAUUGAUGAUACCCAGAACAUAAAUCAAUCCUUAAAAAGCAUAUCGCACCUUAUAAUUGAUCAAACAAAUCAUAUAUUCUUGGGAGUGGAUAUUUAUUCUUAAUUGUAACUUUAUUGAAUUGUUAGUAGCCAAUACACAAUCUGAGGCUCCAUCUUUCUUUUUCAACAAUAGCAUCGGAGUUCCCCAAGGCAAAACAUUUUGGCAAAUAAAGCCCUUAUUCAACAAAUCAUUUAAUUGCUCUUUGAGCUUUCUUAGCUCAGUCGGUGCCAUUCGAUACGAAGGUAUAGAAAUAUGCCUCGUAUCCGAUACUAAGUCAAUGCAAAAUUCAAUCUCCCUUUUGAGAGGUAACCCAAGUAGUUCCUCUGAAAAGAUUUUAAAAGUCACAGCCCAAAUCCUAAGCCAUCACCGACGCAUGGGCUCAAUGGGCAUAGCCCACUAAGCCCAAGCAAAUCUCUUUAUGAGAUCCUAUUCCUCAUUCCAUCCAUCAUCUUGAAAACCAUGUGUUGUAAUUCUCAACGAUGAAUGUUUCAGUAAUAUUAUAUAGCAACCGAAUAUUCAUAUUUGUAUUAUCUCAAAGUACUAUCAUUCAUUGUCAUCUCAUAUGGGGCAUCAUCAUCAAUCCAACAUAUACAUACUUCAUUUAUAACAUGACUCCUAGUAGUUUAUAUUACAUAUACCUGCAGACAAACAAAAGACUCUCAACCAUCAGCGGAGUGACUUUAAGUGAAGGUACCGUUACUGAGAUGCCAUAGUACCUACAAAAAGACGAGCAUACAUGGACACUCAAUCUAGGUCUCAACUGCUUCUGAAUCUGAAAACAUGAAGUUUAAAAGAGUGAGUAUAAAACUCAGUGAGUGAACAUAAGAAGGGAACAAGCAAUCAACAAAGAGAACUAAAAAAUCAUGAUGCACUUGUUUCGAAAACAAUUCAAUUGAUUUAAUUUCUUACUAAAAACCCCUCAUUUCAAACUUUGAUUAAUAACCUCAUAGUGUUUCAAAAACCCAUGAUCAAUCCAUGAAGUUAAAUGGGUGAAAAAUAUGUCAAAAUCAAGCAAGGUAGCAAGCAUGACAGCAAGUUUCUUGCUAUAGUGAGAAAAAUUCUUGAUUUGCAUAUGUUUUGAUUUUUCAAGCAUAUCUCCCACUAGAGAAGUCCAAUUGACAUGAUUUUUUGACCAUUACAAAGCUAAGAGGCUAUGCUACAACUUUUAUGUUUACCACUUUUCUCAGUUCUGACUAGAAGGUGGUCAAAAUUCAUGUCAAAUUAAGGGUACUACAUUAGAAUUUUUGGAACUACUCGAGAGUUUCUCGCUACAGCGAGAAUCAAGCCAGUGCAACCCCCCUCCAACCUGAGAGUUUCUCGCUACAGCAAAAAUAAAUCUCGCUACAGUGAGAAAUAAAGCAACUUAGUUAAAAAGGGUCUUGUUACAUUAAAAGCCAUUUUCUUGUUGAAAUGAAAAGCAAUUUGAGAGCAAUUAACAAUACCAACAUACAACACAAUCAUAAUUAUUUUCAUAAACUUUCUAUAACAUAUAUAUAUUUGUAUAUACAUACAUCAUCAUGCAUACCAUCCUACCACACUCAGCUCAAUGCAAUAUCAUCAUCAUGUGUGCACUCCCUACUCACACACUUCAACAUCAUCACGUGUGCACUCCUUACUCGCACACUCUAACAUCAUCAUGUGUGCACUUCACUCCCUACUCGCACACUUCAACAUCAUCAUGUGUGCACUCCCUACUUUCACACUUCAACAUCAUCACACAACAUUAUUCAUCAAUGCAAAACAUAUAUUCAUAUAUAUACAUGCCAACAUAAUAUAGGAGCACAUGGAUUUAUCUUUUUACACAUUUCACAUUUUCACAACAUCAAAACACUUUAUCAAGGACUUGUUCCCCGGCACACAUUUUGUAACGACCCCCUCUUUGGUCGCUACCGGCGUCCGAGACUUUCAAAGAAUUUUCACUAAGUCCCGAACAAGCCUCAUUUAAAACUUUUGCUAGAUUCAUUAAAUGCAUAUAAUCACAUGCGUAAACAAAUACAUAAAAAUUAAACUACUAUCUACUCCAUUCAAAAUAAUAACAAUCCACGUUUAUGAGUUGACAACAUUUUUCAACAUCUAGUAAAUUUCGUUCUGACAUAACAUUAAACAGUGGAGAGACUCAGAACGAGGCUAGGAGAUGCCUUUACCUACUCUGUGGUGGUCCGUAUACACUAAUGGUUACAUGUUAGACUGAUUUCUCUCUUCAAAAAGGGAAAAUAAAAGGGGUGCGAGUCUCACAGACUUAGUGAUAAUCAUCGACCCCGUGAGCAGGCGAAGAAGGGAAACAACAUAAAGGUGGAAUGUUUAUAAACUCAGGAGUAAGAGUAGAAAAUAUAUUCCAUAAAAAUGAGAGAUUUUGUUUUAUACCUUGCAAUUCAUAAAAAAAUAAUAAUUCCCAAGUAAACAUGUAUGAAAACAGUUGUAUUUAGGAUGCUAGAAAAUAUUUCAACCCCGACAUCUAGUCAACAUUUAAUUCAAUGGCAAGUGAAAAAUAAAAAUUCUCAAAUAUAUAAAAACGAAUUAAUUGAUCACCAAUGAAUAAGUAAAUUUCACUUGCCAUUAAAUAAAUAAAAAUUUUCAAGUAUUAAUGCCAUGCAUAGUGAAAUAAAAAUCUACAAGUGAGCAUCGUCCUCGGGUAGGUUUACUCUAGCCCUUAGGUUUACUCUCUCAGACAUCAUCACUUACUCGUGGGAAUUGCCCAUGCUACCAGAUGAAUCGGGGCUUUAGGUCCCCCUCUUUACCUACUCGUGGAAACUACCAAUGCCACUAAAUAUAAAUCAAGGCUUCAGGUCCCCUUUUACCUACUCGUGGAAACUACCCAUGCCACCAAAUAUAAAUCAAGACUUCAAGUCCCCCUUUUUACCAUCAAAUACCGAUAAUCAACAAUUUUUACUUUAUGCAUAAAGACCACACUUAAAUUGGUGUGGUAACUGGUCCUACCCAGAGUAUCUCAAUCACGUUAAAAUAAAAUCGUUGCAAUUUAAUGCAUUAGCAAAACAUCAUAGUUUGUAAACAAUAUAAUCACAAAUCAAUGUUGUGCAUAUUUUAUUUCAAAACAUGGUAUAUUUACCAAAUCAGCGUGCUAAUUGAAAUAAGUAAUUUAUCAUCAACUUCUAUGAAUCAAAACAAAGGCCAUUGGCCUAAACAUGUCACAAACUUGCAAGGUAUAAUUUUGAGGAGAAAGCCAGUCAAAGGUUUAUUUCCCCGUAUUUAAAACAUGUAGAUAUAUAUAUUUAUAUAUAUUUUAAAGAAAAACAGAUUAAAAAUCUUUGUUACAAACACAAACAACCUAAAGCUUUCUACCAACUCAUGUUGUCCACAAUUUCAUCAACUAUCAAAUAUAACAUCUAUAUUAUAUUAUAGGGACAUAGUUUUGAAAUUUAGCAUCCACUCACCUCACAAUAGCGAGACGCUACUUUGCUAUUAUUUCACACGUGUACUUAGAUAUUCUCUCUUCCUUUUCAUUUUUUUUUUCUUCUAUGUCGUUGCUCCUUCUCUCAUUUUUCUUCUUUUUUCUUUUUCUUCUUUCUUCUUUUUCCUUCUUCUCCUCGUCACUGCUCUUUCUCUCCUUCUUCUUCUUUUUCUUUCUCUUCUUUCUUCCCUCUUUUUCUUCUCCUCUGUCGCUGCUCUUUCUCUCCUUCUUUUUUUUUUCUUUCUCUUCUUUCUUCCAUCUCUUUUUUCUCCCUUGUCGCAGUGCUCCCUCUCUCUUUCUCUUUUUUUUUCUUUCUCUUCUUUUUCCCUUCUUUUUCUUCUCCCUCGUCGCCGUGCUCCCUCUCUCCUUUUUUUCUAUUUCUCUUUCUUUUUCCUCUCUCCUUUCUCUCCCUCAAGCCCUCCACUCUUUUCCUUCUCUUUCCUCUUCUCUUUCUUCUUCUCUUUUUCUUUCUUUUUCUUCUUUUUUGGCAGGUUGACUUUUCUUCUUCUCUCUCCUUUCUCCCUUUUCCUUGUUGGUCGGCCCUCCUUUUUCUUCUCCUCUUUCCUUUCUUUUCUCUUCUCUUUUGUCUUUUAUGAGUGGGGCAUCACACAUUUUUUAAAGAAAGGUUGGAUAAAAUCAUUCAAAUGUUUCAUCCAAAUACAUUUACAUUUCCCAAAGUAAUUUUGAAAUGCAAGUUCACUCAUCGAUAUUUGUUAAAUCUUUAUCCAACUUCAACUCGACUAUUACUCCAAAUGAAGAUGUGAGGUCUUGUUGGAACCUAUCACACACCAACAUUACAACCAACCCAAUUUGCAUAAAUACAAUUCUAAAAGCUAUUUCUUAAAUCAAGUUCCACUAGUCAUCCCUAACUAGCUUCCAACUAUUAUUAAAUGGCUAUCUAUUCUCUCUACUCUAGUAACACUAGAAAUAAAUAAACAAUCUUCAAUAAUAAAACAACUCACAACUCCAAUUACUAGCCAUUAUCAAUAACCUAAAAUCAAUCCUCAUUCAUUACUCACCUUGGUAGAUUUGUAGUUGAAUUCCUUCUCAAGAAUGCUCAAGCUAUCAUGGAAAGUCUCUCUCUCUCUAAAAUGUCCAACUAGUGAGAGAAAGUGUUGAGGAAAGAUUUUUUAGGGUUUUAAGGUGAGAGUGUGACAGAGCACAAAAGGUUCUAUGAAAAAAUGCUCAAAAGCAAGAAAAUUGAAACUAGAGAGAGAGAGAGUUAUGGAAGCUUUAAGGGAGGCUUCCAUGGAAGAUGAAGAAACGUGAGAUGAGGAAGAGGAAAGGAAGAAGAAGCUGCUGGAAAAAUGAGGAAGUUGUUGGAGAAAUGAGAUAUUUAUAGCCUAAGCUUAUCCAAACUUCACUUAAAUUAUGACAAUGCCUUCAACAAGUUGGCUUUGUCUUCCUCCAAUCCUUUGUGCAAUAUUUUUACUCUUUUGACACUGAGAUAAAGUCCAUAAUAGUCUAGAAAUAUCGGGUUCACAAAAUUUUAAAAAUUUUGACUCGAGAAAAAAAUGACCAUUUUGCCCUUACCUUGGAAAUCACCAUUAUUUCUAUUUCCUUCGUCAUUUUAUCCUCAUUUUCAUCAUUCAAUUAUGCCUUAAGCCUACUUAGGCCUUAAUAAUGUUAGAAAACCCACUUCUAGAAGGUCAUUAAGAAAAUGACCAAACUACCCCUACUUUACAUCAUAGGGUUUACCUCCACUACAUGUCUGUGAAGGUCGAGGUCUCACAUUCUCCCCCACUAAAAGAAAUUCGAUCCCCAAAUUUGAAUCGAACUAUAAGAUAGUGCAUCUAUAUGCAUUAAAGAGGUAUGGAUACCUGUUUGCAACUCCUCUUCAGCCUUCCCCAUUACCUCUUCACUGGUGUGGUUUCACCAUAAUGCUUUCACUGAGGCUACAUCCUUUGAGCAGAGCUUUUGACUUGUCUAUCAAGAAUAGCAACUGGUUGCUCUUCAAAUGUUGAAUCAUUAUUAACAAAGUUAAGUUUCAUCUUUUAAAUCAACUCCUCCAAUUACUUGCAUUAGGGUAUUAUCAUUGUUUAUUCUCCAUCCAUGGCACUAGUGCUUCGUGGAAGUCUAACUCAACUAUGAUAUAACACUUCGUUAAUCCUUACAUCUUGAUCAUAUUAAUCCAUUUGUACGGCUCAACCACGAUGUAAAUUCCAAUUCCUUAAUAUCCCUUCUUUCUCUAUUGCACUUGAAUUCUCCUUUACUCACAUAGCUCAACUUCUAAUGGUAACUCUUAUCAUCGUGUCAUCUAUACAACUCAUUAAGCAUGUUAAAUUCAAAACUCCAAUCACCAUAAUUAAUUCUUCACUUUAAUUAAUCACAUAAUCAUCUCCAUAUAUAUAUAUAUAUAUAUGUAUGUAUGUAUGUAUAUACACAUUUAAGAAUCAUCAUCCAUCACUAUAUGUAGGAACCCUCAUCAAUUACUUUAAAGUAAAUUUCCUCUAUUUAUUCCAAUCCAUAACCUAGAUUCAUGAUCAUAUUCUCAUGUUUCCCUUUUUACUUUUCCAUUUCAUUCCCAUAGUUCAAGUUUAAUCCAUGAAUAUUAGGAUAUAAUCAACUCCAGAUUACCCUUUCGAAUGUUUAAAUCACCAUUUACUUUACAUCCUACCACUCAUCCUUGCGCCACAUUGUCAUAAACAUGUCACAAUCACUAAUUAUCAUUUUAAUCAAGUUACCCUCCAAUAUCCAUGUAUGCCUUACUAUUUUGUUGAUCUUUCAAGUUUAUCUUUACUUGAUCUUUACAUUUAUGCUAUACCACAAUCCUUAAAAGUCUUCUUUACUUCUUAAUUGUCUUCUUAACUUCCAACAUAUAUGUGAUAUUCUUAUGUCAUCUCGACAUUACUUAGUCCUAAUUCAUAUUCUUGUAUCCUGACUCUAAAUCAUGGCUUAUUACCAAAAUCUUUACUUGUACAUGCUUGCUUGAAGUAUCAAAUCAUCAUCUCUUUCCCAAGUAGAUCUCUAAGAAUCCCGUUGUGUACUACUAUUUCCUCACCAAGGGUAAUGUUGAUUAACUAGAGCAUAUGCCAUUAUUCACUAAGCAUUUAAAGCAUAGUUCAAUCCUUGCUUUCCUUUAACAGGUACUCUACUUUGAUAAUUACUCAAAAUGAAAUAACACAUGUGAGGGAAACUUUUUUUUUUUACCAUUGUAUACUUCGCCUCAAACCAACAUUUCCAAUCAUUCUUAGACUUGCAGCAUACCUUUAUACUACACGACAUAUCAAUCACGAGCACUAACGUCACUAUAUAACUGUUAGGUCCUUAAGCUUUAAUGUGUUCACAUUGUGAGAACUCUUUCGAAUUAUUUCACCAAAGUAUUCAUAAAGUGGAUACAAGCCCAUAACUUAUGGUUCAAUAUCUAAAAUAGUGAACACUAUCCCAUCAUUAAAGUUCUAUCCUUAUCUAUUAAUCAUAACUCCUUUGCACAUUUACUUAUACAUUGCUUGGUUGCUCACGAGCCUAUAUGGCCAUGCCAUUUCGAUCUUUUAUGGCAAAUUAACUAAUAUAUUCUCUUAUGCUUUUCAAUACACUUCUGAAACACUUAAACACAUCCUUUCGUGGAAUUCAGUUGAGGACUUAAACAAUCAAAAGCUUACCUUCAAAACCACUCAUAACUUUAAUAAUCCAAUGUAUGCUCAAUGACAUUCCACCUCAUCGAUUCCAACGGACAUUAUUUUCAAAUCUCCCAAGGCGUCGUUGUCCUUAAUUUAGACCACACAACUAUCUUAGUAUAUUUGCAUGAAUUAUUCUUAAGCUUCUUAUGUUCAUCAUAGCAACAUCCAUAUUUCUCCCAUUAUUUACCUUGCUUUUCAUUCACUCUUUCCUAGCCCUUAAUAAAGCUUAAUCUCUUGUCUCAUUUACCUACAUGUCCAUAUAUAAGGCAAUAAAGAAACUUUCCAAUUCAUUCAUAUAAAUACUUUCCAAAACCUUAAAACUCCAAUUAACGAAGUUAACAUCAAGUCUAAAUGACCAUAAUUCAGUGCGUAAGUUCAGCUUCACGCCCUUCACAUUUUAUUCAUACAUUCUAGACAUGAGGUGCUCCUAGCACUGUGGCGCGGUGGUUGCUGGGGUUUACUUAAUCAAUGCUAUUCGUUUACAUUUAAGGUUACUACAUUGAUCAUCCUCGACCGUUUGGUUUUCCUCCAAGCUUACAUCACACUUUCCAUAGCCAUUUAUAUUCUCGUUGGUUUAUCACAUAUAAUAGGCUAAACCAAUAUUUUCAAAUUCAACUCAUCCCUUAACACUUGUCACCAAUCAAUAAAUCCCACCUUAGGACAUCUUUCCAUAUUGUACAAUGAAUUCACCAUGUACAUAUAACACCACACACAUAAUUAUUCAUUGCUUCUAGUGUUCCACAAUUCCUUAGCAUUCGCAACUAGUUGUUUCUCUUAUCUUAUAACUUAAUUAGUUUAGCCACUUCAACUUAGUAUCAUCAUGAAUUUUGUCUAUCUUGAUCAUUCUACUUAUGCUCACAUCAUUACUUCAAAAUUCUAGAAUUUAUUCUUCCCCCAUUUUCAUUGUUAUUUUUAAUAGCGUAUAUCAUGUCAAUUUAGUAUCUUAUAAUACCACAUUUACAACCCACCAAGCAUAUUGUGUUCAAAUCUCAAGUCGCUAAGAACGAUUCUUUGUUUCCACCAAUGACAUGAGUAACUCCACAUAUACAUAUACACAUCCAUUUAAAUGUCAACAUCAUCCAUUUGAAUGUCUCUUGUCGCCACUAGAUAUCCUUGGUAAUCUUGGCCUGACCUUCGAGUAGUAGAUAGGACUGACAUAACUUCUAUAGAUACUGGAUUGCUAUGUUCGUAAAUCACAAAUGAAGGCUCCCUCGAGAACUUAAACUUUACUAACUUGUAGUUUCAAUCCAUCUUAGCAUAAUAAAACGCUAACCAAUCCAUUCGCAGAAUUACAUCAAAAUUAAAGGUCAACAAUAACACCAAGUCUGCUAAAGUGUCUUUGUUUUUGAUACGGACCAUACAAAACUUAUACACAUAUUCCACAAUAAAUACUUCCUUUAAAGGAGUAGUCACAAUCAAACGUUCUUCUAACCCACAAUAAAAUCUGCCUAACUUUGAUACUAAGUGGAGUGACACAAAUGAAUGUAUUGAUAUAAGAUCAAACAAGACUAAAGCUUUAGUACCACAAACAAAAAGUGUACUUGUGACUAUUGCAUACGAAGUCUGAACCUCUUGUGGUGUUAAAGCAAACAUUCUCACUUGGCCUCCAUUCAUAUUACCUUGUUGCGUUGGCCUUAUUGGCCUAUCUUGAGAUGAUGUGGCUAUACCCUUACCUUUAUCACCUUUGAUAUUCCUAGGGGGAGCUGCCACCCUAAGUGGCGUAGUUGCAACUGGCUACAUGAAACCACGAUUAGCUCUUAAUGAUUGCUUAAACCUCAGGCAAUCUCUCAUAUGAUGUCAAGAUUGAGCACAAACAAAACAUAACCCUACUACUUGAUGGCAUGAUCCACCAUGUGCCUUACCACAAAAAUUACAAAAAGCACCCCUUUGCUUGAGGCCCAAACUAAAGACUCCACUAGCCUGCUCUCAUUUAGCAUUAAGGCAAAAUGUAUUACUACCCUAACAGUCUACGCGUAUGAAUGGUCCUCCUUUAGCCUUGACGGCUUGUAGAAACUGGACUGUGAAUCACACUAGAAUCUCUUUAACCAUGUUGGCCUUAAUUCAAGUCUUCCAAACCCUUAUCUCUCUUUGUCAUAACCUCCCUCCUCAUUAUUUCAAUCGUCUUAGUUGAGUCUACCAUAGCAGAAUAGAAGGCAAACCUUUGAGUGGCAAUAACACGAAACAAUAGCUCAAUCUAUCUUUUAACAAAUCUUUUGAUUUGCUUUCUUUGGUAAGGACCGAGUAUGGAGCAUAUCAAGAUAAUUCGGUGAACCAAACAUCAUACUCUAUCACUAGCAUGCCUAGGGUUUGAACCAUUGUCUUAAACUCUUAUGCCUUUGCAUGUUUUACUUACUCAGGCAAAAACAGGUCUAAGAAAACUUAGGUAAACUCUUAUCAAGUAAUUGAAGUUGAACCUUGUCACAACCCAAAACCCGAGCCAUGACCGACGCAUGGGCCUAAUGGGCACAGCCCACUAAGCUUAAGCAAGCCUCUUUAUGAAAUCCUAUUCAUCAUUUCAUUACGUCACCAUUCCUAAACCACAAAUCUUGAUUUUCAACUAUGCGUAUUUCAGUAACAUACAUGGAAACUAAUAUUUAUAUUUGUAUUAACCCAAAAUAUUGUCAUUCAUUCAUUGCUAUCUCAUAAUGGCGUCAUCAAUCCAAAUAUACAUCUAUUGUUUGUAACCUAAAUCUUAUUUACAUCGAGUAUAUAUAUAUACAUACAAAAGACUUUUGACGACCAGCGGAGCGACCUUGGGUGAUGAUACUAUUACUGAAUGCCAAAAUACCUACCAAAGGGUGAACGCACAUGAAUGCCUCAAUUUAGGUCCCAACUGCCCUUGAGUUUGAAAACAUGAAGUUUAAAAGAGUGAGUACAAUCCCAAUGAGUGAACAUAAGAAGGGAACAAGUAAACGAUAAGGAAAAUUUUAUAAAACAUGAUGCACUUAUAGUAAAAACAACGCAAUUUAGUUUAAAUUCUAGUUAAAACCCCUCAUUUCAAACUUUGAUUAUUUAAUCCUUUAGUGUUGAAGGAUCCAUGAUCAACCAUGAAGUCGGAAAGAGUGAGAACUAUAGCAUAAUCCAAGCAAGACGAGCAUAACAACAUAACAGAGGGUUUCUCGCUGUAGCGAAAUUCGGACAAAGAAAAUUUUAGACCUCUUAAGAGUUUUUCGCUGCAGCGAGAAUGCAUUCACAUUGCAGCAAAAUUCAAAGCACAAAUUAAGUGAAUCACCUGAGAGUUUCUCAUUGCAACAAGAAUUAGGGCUGAUGAAAUUAGGGGGGGUUUUGCUACAUUGAAAAUUCGUCCUAUUGCAACGAAAAUCAAUUUGAAAUUAGUUAACAAUUUUCAAUACUCAACAUUUAAUACAAUCACAUCUUAUUUCUUUAUACUUUCUAUAGCAUAUAUAUUCAGUGUUAUAGUAUGCAUGAUCAUAUCUAUAGCAUAUAUAUAUAUAUAUAUAAGCAUAUAUACACCCACUAGUCAUUAACUCAUGUGCACUCCCACACCGCACAACAAACAUAUAUACAACCAUCGGUCAUCAGCUCAUGUGCACUCCCACACUGAACAUAGUUGGAAUCACACCACGUCAUCACCAGCAUGUGCCCUCCCACAUCAUACACACUCAGUUAUAAUUACCACACAAUAUUACUUAUCAAUACAUAUCAUAUAUCGAUAUAUAUUAUAAAUAUCAACAUAACAUAGGCGCACAUGGAUUCAUCCCAGUCAUAUUCCACAACGCAAAAACAUUUCAUCAAGGGCUUGUUCCCAUGCAUAUUUUAGAGAAAAGAUCAAUCAAAUAAAUCAAGUGAUUCAAUCAAGCUUGUAUGUACUUAUCCCAAAACAUUUUAAUGCGAGUUCACUCACCGUUUUUGUUAAUGCUUUGAUCGACUCUAACUGCGUCUAAUACUCUAGAUGGAGAUGUGGGGCUUCGUUGCAACCUAUCACACACCAUAGCAUCACACCAACCUAAAUUGGCAUUAAUAAAAUUCUAAAAGCCAUUUCCUAAAUCAAGUUCUACUAGUUAUUCUUAACUAGCUUCCAAUUACCAUUAAAUGGCUAUUUAUUUUGUAAAACCUGACCUUAUAAAAUACUCGUCAUGAUAUACAAGUGAUGAUAGCAUGAUUGCAUGCUAGGAGAGUGCCGAAAAAUUUACAAAAGUCGGUAUUGUACCUAGAGGUACAACAAAGUUGAUUUAAUCCUCAAACUAGAUCAAAUAGGAAUUUUAAGGUGAGAUUAAGAGCUUCACAGUCCAUGGAUGACUCAAAAUGGUAAUUCGGAGUUUGAGGAUAAAUUUGGAGUCAAACCGGAAUUUUCACUAUCUAGAGGCAAAAUGAUCAUUUGCCACCUUGGGACAAAGUGGGAAUUUUAGAAAAGAUUUUUUUGGCCCCAUUUGACUUAUUGGAGUAUGAUUUGAGGUUUAGAAGCGAAAAAUUUUAAUUUCGGUAUAAUUUGAAGUAUAGGGGUAAAAUGGUAAUUUUGCCACCUUAGAGGCAAAAUUAUAAUUUUCCACCACCAGGACAUUUAUCCAGCAUAUGGUCUUCCUUUAUCCUCAUUUUUUACCUUUGACUAAUCAUGUGGUGGAGAUAAAAAGUUUAAAUUUUUAAAGUUUUAAAAAUGGACCAAUAAGAAAAUGCCAUGUGUCAAGCUUAGGAUAUUUUAUUAUUUAACUUAAAAAUCAGCAUAAAUCAGCCCAUUACCCUCCAAAUAUUCGGCCAAGCAAGGAAGAGAGGGAAAGAAAGGAAGAACAAACCCUAGGUGUGGAAUUUCAAAAGAAAAAGUGUGGAAAAUCAAGGAAAACAAGUGAAAAAUGUAGGAUUUUUCGACUUAAGCUUGAAAUCUAUUUUCCUUAAGCAUUUCUCCUCAUUUUCCAUGCUUAAAUUACAUGUUUUUAUGAUGAAUUGUUGGCUGAUCAAAAUGGGUAUGGAGAGAGAAUGAAGUUAGAUUAAUUUGAUUUUAAGUUAUGUUAGUGUUUUUAGUUAGUUUAGCAUAUUUAGAAACAAAACAACAAGAAAAGAAUUCAUUUUCCUCCAUUACCAUUAUUGGACGAAUUUUGUAAGGGCAUAUUGGCUGCUGAUCUUGAUGUUUAUUUGACGAAUUAUGAUGAAUAAUGAUGAAUUAUGAGCCUAGAAACAUAAUGGGAAUUUUCAGAGCAAAAAUACGAAUUUUUACCCACUAGGGGUAUUUUCGUAAUUUGUUAUCGGGACUGAUAAUUUGCACCACACUAAAGGACAUUAAGUCAAUUUGGGUGCAAUUAAGGUAUAGAAACUUAAACAAAUUAAUUUGGAGUUUAAACGGACGCGUAUAUCAAUUUAUCGGGUAAAAGACCGAAAUAGGCUAACACCACGUUUAGGUAAAAUUUAGACAUUUUUGCAUUCCAUAUCAUGCAUUAGUAGUCUAAAUUAGUUUAAUUUCAAUUUAGUACCAAUGUAGUGAGUUUCUCAAUUUUGUACUGUGUCAAGGUGGCGAGUCCUCCAACAAAAGUAAGGGAAUUGCAUCCGAGGACCAGUAGUCUGAGUAUUUCGAGAAUCGGCACUCUAAACAUUGUGAGUAAACUUAUUAUCAUUUUAAUUAUCUAGGGUGAUUUUUAGAUGAUUUCAUUAAUUCUAUGGAAAAAUGGAAUUAAAAAGGUAAAUUUUCAUGUUUUAUGAAUAAAGGUGUUUUAAUGAAAUUAAUUUAUAAAUUGUUUUGAAAUUAAUAGUGAUUUUGAAAAAAAUAGAGUACACAGAGACUGUUAAUUGUGGCAAUUUGAUUGUUUAAAUUGAUUGGCUUAUGAUAAAUCGGGCAUGAUUGGCUAGUUGGCAAUUGUAUUGAAAUACGAAUUGUUUGGUUGCCUUGAAAGACUGCGAAUUACAAAAUGGCCAUAUCAUGUUAUUGAGUUUUAUUAUAUGGUGGAUUAUAUAUUAAUUAAUCACUGCAAUAGGGGGUUUCUGUAGAUCAGCCUUUUAGAGGGGCACAGUAAACCCCAUUAUAUUCUUACCUCGAACGGAGAGGCGCAUAAGGUAUCUAUUGGGGUAAAGCUUAGGGUUCACUUCACGCCAAACUACCACAUGAGGGGGAACUCAGCCAACGCCAAGGAACGGCUAUGUUUUCAAAACAAAAACAUGAUUUAUAUGAAAUGUGAAUUUUAAUAGCCUUGGCGGUCUUGGUAGGAUGCCUUGGCCAAGGUGUCCUUGAGAAUGAAUUUAUGGCACAAGCCUAGUUUUUAUGAAAUUCAUAAGCCUCUUCACGUAUUUUAAAUAAAAUGUAUUCUAAUGCUGUGAUCCAGUUUACGAUGAUUUACUUUAUUAUCUUCAUGUACUCAACUCUAGAUGUUUAUAAUGAUAUCUAUUUACUCAUUGGGAUUUUAUAAUCUCACUACCCUCCUUUUCACCCAUUUCAGGUUCAGUAUAUACUGUAGAUAGCUGAUCUCAUCGAGGACUACCGUUGGAUCUGCAUUUGCCAAACUGUAGCUUCACAGUCCUCUUUACUUUUGUUUAUUCGGGGGCCCUUUUGUUAUUGAAAAUUAAAUUAAAUAUUUUGACUUACUGUAUUACAGUAUGUAUAAAUUUAUUUAGCUUUUACGCUACAAAAAUUAUUUACAUAUAACUCUAUAAAUAUUGGUUUAUAAGAAAAUAAAAUAUUUUACUUAAUAUUUCUUUUAUUUUCUUAUUAUAUUCAAAUAACCAUAAUUUCGUUUUAAAUGAAGAUUUUAGUCUUUUAAACUCAUUUUGAAUAUGAAUUAUGUGUUUUGUACUUGUAUAUUAUAUUUUAGCUAGUAUCGAAAUUUUUGAAAAAAAUGAUCAAAAUACCUCUGUGAGACAAAAAAAAUUAAUAUUUUAUUUGUUUUAAGUUGGAAACAGCUUAAAAUCUUUUAAAACACGAUAUUUGAUAAAUGGUUGCUCACAAGGGAAAUGAGAAACUGAUAGUAAAGCCUUGCGGGGUUUCGGGUUGACAUUCUGAGCAAUGAGUGUCUAUUGGGACACCGCGACGGUUGUCACGGGCUCGAGGGGAGUACCGGGUCGUGACAAUUCGAUUGCUAUUAGAGCUUUUGGUUUUAAAGAUCAAAGUUUUUAGUUUUAAAGUGGUUUUAAAAAUUUACAAUAUCAGUGUGGCUUUGGAUUAAGUUAGGUUAGGUUGAAUAGAAUGCAUGCAUUUGCAUAUAGAGCCUAAGGUUGCCUAAACUUGCUCGUAUUCUUUUAUAGAUUAUAAUGCCUCAUCGACGCGGAUGCCCACCUUUCACUAGAUAGGUUGGGAGGGGAAGAGGUCGUUCCCAACGUCGUCAGCUAAAUGCAGUAGAGGAGGAAUCGGCUACAUCUACCAUUCGGGCAUCACCUGCUACUGCUGCAGCACCGGCUCCUCCACAUCCUCCGCCACCUACUAGUACUCCUACCAUGUCUCCUGAGGCAGUCCAAGCAUUGGCAGCUUUCUUUAUCGCUAUUGCUGGCCAAGCUCAAGCUGGUCAAGCCCUUCAUAUAGUACCACCAGUUGCUCCUUCAGUACCACCACCCCCACCUCCUAUUCCACCACCAGUGUCGAAUGUCUCUAUUGCUAAGAAGUGGAAGGAAGCUAGGCAACUUGGUUGUGUUUCUUUUACGAGUGAGUUGGAUCCAACCGUAGCCAAAGAUUGGAUUAAUCAGGUUUCGGAGACGUUCUCUGAUAUGAGGUUGGAUGAUGACUUGAAAUUGAUGGUGGCCAUGAGAUUACUAGAGAAGAGAGCUCGUACAUGGUGGAAUUCAGUAAAAUCUCGUUCCACUACUCCUCCGACCUGGUCAAACUUCUUAAGAGAAUUUGAUGGUCAGUAUUUCACUUAUUUUCAUCAGAAAGAAAAGAAAAGAGCAUUUCUGAGUUUGAACAAGGGAAUUUGACUGUAAAGGAGUACGAAGCUCAUUUUAACGAGCUGAUGUUAUAUGUGCCAGAUCUAGUGAAAUUUGAGUAGGAUCAGGUCAAUUAUUUCGAGGAAGGGCUCCGUAAUGAGAUUAGAGAGCGGAUAAUAGUGACUAGUAAAGAGCCACAUAAGGAGGUCGUAUAGAUGGCUUUACGGGCUGAGAAGCUUGCGAUUGUGAAUAGAAAGAUUUAAAUCGAGUUUGCAAAAAGGAUAAAUCUAAGUGUAUCUUCCAGUCAGCCACCAAAAAGGGGCGAAGACUCAUCUGCUUCAAGGAGUACUACCUCUAUUUUAGUGACAUCUCCUCAACCUCCAUUUUCAUAGACACAGCAGAGGCCUUAGAGAUUCAGCAGAUCUGCAAUGACUAUUUCUUGGAAGAGCUCCAAAGGUUCUGAUAGAUGCAGAAGAUGUGGGAAGAAUCAUGUUGGGCCGUGUAGGGGACCAGUACGAUGUUAUCAUUGUGAUCAGCCGGGCCACAUUAAGAGUGAGUGCCCACAGCUAAGACGGGCUAUUGCAACUGCUCCAUCUCCAUCAGCUCGUACAGAUAUACAGAGGAGAGAUCCUUUUAGGUUACCACCGAGGUAGGGAGUGGCUAUACAGUCUGGUGUAGAGAGUAACACCUCGGCAUAUCCACCUUCGAGACCACAGACUCGUACUUCGACAAGAGUUUUUGCUGUGACGAAAGAUGAGGCGCGGGUCCAACUUGGAGCAGUGACAAGUAACAUGUCUUUAUUUGAUAAAGAUGCUUAUGUUUUGAUAGAUUCUGGCUCAUAUAGGUCUUAUGUGAGUAUGGCAUUUGCAUCAAUUGCUGAUAGAAACCUAUCACCAUUAAAGGAAGAAAUUGUAGUUCACAUCCCUUUAGGUGAAAAGCUAGUUAGAAACAAUUGUUAUAGAGAUUGUGGAGUAAUGGUUGGUGAGGAAGAAUUUAUGGGUGACUUGAUUCCUCUAGAGAUCCAAGAUUUUGAUUUGAUAUUGGGUAUGGACUGGUUAACUGCACAUCAGGCGAAUGUGGAUUGUUUUAGAAAAUAAGUUGUUCUUCAUAAUUCGAAGGGAGCAGAGAUUAUUUUUGCAGGGAAACGUUGAGUAUUACCGUCUUGUGUAAUCUCGGCCAUCAAAGCUUCGAAAUUGGUGCAGAAAGAGUAUCCAGCAUAUUUAGCACAUGUGAUCGAUACUUCAAAAGGGGAACCUAAAUUAGAGGAUGUCCCAAUAGUUAGUGAGUUUCCUGAUGUAUUUCCUGAUGAAUUACCGGGACUACCUCCUGAUUGAGAGCUCGAGUUCCCUAUUGAUUUACUUAUGGGUACCGCACCUAUUUCUAUUCCUCCAUAUAGAAUGGCUCUAACAGUGUUGAAGGAACUGAAAGUCUAGUUGCAAGAUUUGGUGGAUAAAGGUUUCAUUCGCCCUAGCAUUUCCCCUUAGGGAGCACCAGUCCUAUUUGUAAAGAAGAAGGAUGGCACUCUUCGAUUAUGUAUCGAUUACCCUUUACCCCGGAUAGAUGAUCUUUUUGAUCAAUUACGAGAUGCUAUGGUGUUUUCAAAGAUUGAUUUGAGGUCUGGGUAUUAUCAGUUGAAGAUUAAGGAGCAGGAUGUACCCAAGACUGUCUUUAGGACGUGUUAUGGGCAUUAUGAGUUUCUGGUGAUGCCGUUUGGUUUGACUAAUGCCUCGACAGUUUUUAUGGAUCUUAUGAACAGGGUGUUCCAUCCAUACUUGGAUAAGUUUGUGAUAGUGUUCAUAGAUGACAUCCUGGUUUAUUCGAAGAAUGAUGAUGAACAUGCUGCCCAUUUGCGCAUUGUGUUGCAAACUUUGUGUGAGAGACAACUCUAUGCUAAGUUUUCUAAAUGUGAGUUCUGGUUAAAGGAAGUGGUUUUCUUGGGACAUGUGGUGUCCGGAGCUAGAAUUUAUGUCGAUCCCAAGAAGAUCGAGGCAUUCUUACAAUGGGAGCAACCAAGAACGGUAGCAAAUAUUCGUAGUUUUCUUGGCUUAGCCAAUUAUUAUCGGAGAUUUGUUCGGGGAUUUUCAUUGAUAGCAGCUCUUUUGACUCGUUUGACUCGUAAAGGAGUUAAGUUUGAGUGGGAUGAUGUUUGUGAGAAUCGAUUUUAAGAGCUAAAGAACCGGUUAACCUCCGCUCCCGUUUUAACACUUCCUGUUAAUGGAAAAGAAUUUGUGGUACACUGUGAUGCAUCUAAGUUAGGAUUAGGGUGUGUGUUGAUGCAGGAUGAGAAGGUGAUAGCUUAUGCUUCCCUGCAGUUGAAGAAGCACGAGACAAAUUACCCUACUCAUGACUUAGAGUUAGCAGUAGUAGUCUUCGCAUUGAAGAUUUGGAGACAUUAUUUAUAUGGUGAGGGUUGUCAGAUUUUUACUGAUCAUAAAAGCUUGAAAUAAUUGCUCACCCAGAAAGAGCUUAAUUUGAGACAGAGACGAUGGUUGAAGUUGAUUAAGGAUUAUGACUUGGUGAUUAAUUAUCAUCCGGGAAAGGCAAAUGUUGUGGCAGAUGCUUUAAGUUGUAAAUCCUCAUCUUCAUUAGCAGUACUUCAGAGUUCUUAUUUUUCGAUAUUACUUGAGAUGAAAUCUCUAGGGAUCCAGUUGAAUAAUGGUGAGGAUGGAACCCUACUUGCUAGUUUUGUUGUGAGACCUUCAUUAUUGAAUCAAAUCAGAGAAUUGCAGAAAUCUGAUGAUUUGUUGAAACGGGAAGUUCAAAAGCUGCAAGAUGGAUAAACUAGUGAGUUUAGACUCAACGAUGAUGGUACUUUGAUGCUUAGAGAUCGAAUUUGUGUCCCUAAGGAUGAUCAAUUGAAACGAGCUAUUCUGGAGGAAGCUCAUUCUUCCGCCUACGCUUUACAUCCCGGAAGCACCAAGAUGUAUCGGACUAUUAAAGAAAGUUAUUCGUGGCCGGGUAUGAAAUGAGACAUAGCAGAGUUUGUAGUGAAAUGUCUCACAUGCCAACAGAUCAAGGCGGAGCAUCAAAAUUUGUCAGGUACUCUUCAGCCUUUACCGAUUCCUGAAUGGAAGUGGGAACAUGUGACUAUGGACUUUGUAUUGGGUUUGCCGCGAACACAAAGUGGGAAGGAUGCUAUUUGGGUGAUUGUGGAUAGAUUGACUAAGUCCGCCCAUUUCUUGGCUAUCCAUAGCAUGUAUUCUAUUGAGAGGCUGGCAAGACUUUAUAUAGAUGAGGUUGUGAGAUUACAUGGAGUUCCAGUUUCUAUUGUGUCAGAUCGAGACCCUCGGUUUACUUCUUGAUUUUGGUCGAAAUUUCAGGAAGCUCUUGGAACUAAAUUGAGAUUUAGUACUGCCUUUCAUCCGCAGACAAAUGGUCAAUCUGAGAGAACUAUUCAGACCUUUGAGGAUAUAUUACGAGCUUGUGUCAUUGACUUUGUUGGGAGUUGGGACAGACACUUGCCAUUAGUAGAGUUCGCGUAUAAUAAAAAUUUUCAGUCUAGUAUUGGGAUGGCACCAUACGAGGCUUUGUAUGGAAGGAAGUGCCGAACUCCACUCUGUUGGGAUGAAGUAGGUGAGAGGAAAUUGGUGAAUGUGGAAUUGAUUGAUCUGACAAAUGAUAAGGUCAAGGUUAUCCGAGAGCGGUUAAAAACAGCUCAAGAUAGGCAGAAGAAUUAUUUUGAUAGAUGAAGGAAAGAUUUGGAGUUUGAAGUUGACGAUAAAGUUUUUCUUAAGGUUUCUCCUUGGAAAGGUAAUAAUUUAAAAAUUUUGAAGUAUUAAAUCUUAUUUGAUUAAACUGUUGUGAUAAUUUAUGGUAUUUAUUGGAUAAUGGAAGGUGUAAUUCGAUUCGCGAAAAGGGGAAAGCUUAAUUUGAGAUACAUUGGACCUUUUCGUAUUAUUGAAAGGAUUGGGCCAGUGGCUUACAGACUUGAAUUACCCCCGGAGUUAGAUCGGAUUCAUAAUGUCUUCCAUGUCUCGAUGUUGAAAAAGUAUGUUCCCGAUCCUUCCCAUAUUCUAGAGACACCUCCAAUUGAGUUGCAUGAAGAUUUGAAGUUCGAGGUGCAGCCGGUACGUAUUCUAGAUUGAAAGGAUCGAGUGAUGAGGAACAAGAGCAUUCCAAUGGUGAAAGUAUUGUGGAAAAAUGCUCGAAUGGAAGAAAUGACGUGGGAAGUCGAGCACCAGAUGAGGAACCAAUAUCCACAUCUUUUCUUGGAAUCCGGUAAGUGAAAUUUUGAGGUCAAAAUUUUAUUUUAAGGGGGGUAAUGUUGUAAAGCCUGACCUUAUAAAAUACUCGUCAUGACAUACAUGUGAUGAUAGCAUGAUUGCAUGCUAAGAGAGUCCCGAAAAAUUCACAAAAGUCAGUAUUGUACCUAGAGGUANNNNNNNNNNNNNNNNNNNNNNNNNNNNNNNNNNNNNNNNNNNNNNNNNNNNNNNNNNNNNNNNNNNNNNNNNNNNNNNNNNNNNNNNNNNNNNNNNNNNNNNNNNNNNNNNNNNNNNNNNNNNNNNNNNNNNNNNNNNNNNNNNNNNNNNNNNNNNNNNNNNNNNNNNNNNNNNNNNNNNNNNNNNNNNNNNNNNNNNNNNNNNNNNNNNNNNNNNNNNNNNNNNNNNNNNNNNNNNNNNNNNNNNNNNNNNNNNNNNNNNNNNNNNNNNNNNNNNNNNNNNNNNNNNNNNNNNNNNNNNNNNNNNNNNNNNNNNNNNNNNNNNNNNNNNNNNNNNNNNNNNNNNNNNNNNNNNNNNNNNNNNNNNNNNNNNNNNNNNNNNNNNNNNNNNNNNNNNNNNNNNNNNNNNNNNNNNNNNNNNNNNNNNNNNNNNNNNNNNNNNNNNNNNNNNNNNNNNNNNNNNNNNNNNNNNNNNNNNNNNNNNNNNNNNNNNNNNNNNNNNNNNNNNNNNNNNNNNNNNNNNNNNNNNNNNNNNNNNNNNNNNNNNNNNNNNNNNNNNNNNNNNNNNNNNNNNNNNNNNNNNNNNNNNNNNNNNNNNNNNNNNNNNNNNGUGAGGAAUUUCAAGAGAAAAAGUGUGGAAAAUCAAGGAAAACAAGUGAAAAAUGUGAGAUUUUUCAACUUAAGCUUGAAAUCUAUUUUCCUUAAGCAUUUCUCCUUAUUUUCCAUGCUUAAAUUACAUGUUUUUAUGAUGAAUUAUUGGCUGAUCAAAAUGGGUAUGGAGAGAGAGAGAAUGAAGUUAGAUUAAUUUGAUUUUAAGUUAUGUUAGUGUUUUUAGUUAGUUUAGCAUAUUUAUAAACAAAACAACAAGAAAAGAAUUCAUUUUCCUCCAUUACCAUUAUUGGCCGAAUUUUGUAGGGGCAUAUUGGCUGCUGAUCUUGAUGUUUAUUUGACGAAUUAUGAUGAAUAAUGAUGAAUUAUGAGCCUAGAAACAUAAUGGGAAUUUUCGGAGCAAAAAUACGAAUUUUUACCCCCUAGCGGUAUUUUCGUAAUUUGUUAUCGAGACUGAUAAUUUGCACCACACUGAGGAACAUUAAGUCAAUUUGGGUGCAAUUGAGGUAUAGAAACUGAAAAAAAUUAAUUUGGAGUUUAAACGGACGCGUAUAUCGAUUUAUUGGGUAAAAGACCGAAAUAGGCUAACACCACGUUUAGGCAAAAUUUAGAUAUUUUUGCAUUCCAUAUCAUGCAUUAGUAGUCUAAAUUAGUUUAAUUUCAAUAUAGUACCAAUGUAGUGAGUUUCUCAAUUUUGUACUGUGUCAAGGUGGCCAGUCCUCCGAUAAAGGUAAGGGAAUUGCAUCCGAGGACAAGUAGUUUGAGUAUUUCGAGAAUCGGCACUCUAAACAUUAUGAGUAAACUUAUUAUCAUUUUAAUUAUCUAGGGUAAUUUUUAGAUGAUUUCAUUAAUUCUAUGAAAAAAUAGAUUUAAAAUGGUAAAUUUUCAUGUUUUAUGAAUAAAGGUGUUUUAAUGAAAUUAAUUUAUAAAUUGUUUUGAAAUUAAUAGUGAUUUUGAAAAAAAUAGAGUAUACGGAGACUGUUAAUUGUGGCAAUUUGAUUGUUUAAAUUGAUUGGUUUAUGAUAAAUCGGGCAUGAUUGGCUAGUUGACAAUUGUAUUAAAAUACGAAUUGUUUGGUUGCCUUGAAAGACUGCGAAUUACAAAAUGGCCAUAUCAUGUUAUUGAGUUUUAUUGUAUGGUAGAUUAUAUAUUAAUUAAUCACUGCAGUAGGAGGUUUCUGUGGACCAACCUUUUAGAGGGGCACAGUAAAGCCCAUUAUAUUCUUACCUCGAACGGAGAGGCGCAUAGGGUAUCUCCUGGGGUAAAGCUUAGGGUUCACUUCACGUCAAACCACCACGUGAGUGGGAACUCAACCAACGCCAGGGAACGACUAUGUUUUCAAAACAAAAAUAUAAUUUAUAUGAAAUGUGAAUUUUAAUAGCCUUGGUAGUCUUGGUAGGAUGCCUCAGCCAAGGUGUCCUUGAGAAUGGAUUUAUGGCACAAGCCUAGUUUUUAUGAAAUUCAUAAGCCUCUUCACGUAUUUUAAAUAAAAUGUAUUCUAAUGCUGUGACCCAAUUUACGAUGAUUUACUUUAUUGUCUCCAUGUACUCAACUCUAGAUGUUUAUGAUGAUGUCUGUUUACUCAUUGAGAUUUUAUAAUCUCACCACCCUCCUUUUCACCCAUUUCAGGUUCAGUAUAGACUGUAG
rnacentral:lncRNA from 1 species